GACGAACGCUGGCGGCGUGCUUAACACAUGCAAGUCGAACGCUGAAGCUCAGCUUUUGUUGGGUGGAUGAGUGGCGAACGGGUGAGUAACACGUGAGUAACCUGCCUCCUUCUUUGGGAUAACGCCCGGAAACGGGUGCUAAUACUGGAUAUUCACUGGUCUUCGCAUGGGGGUUGGUGGAAAGGGUUUUUCUGGUGGGGGAUGGGCUCGCGGCCUAUCAGCUUGUUGGUGGGGUGAUGGCCUACCAAGGCUUUGACGGGUAGCCGGCCUGAGAGGGUGACCGGGCACAUUGGGACGGAGAUACGGCCCAGGCUACUACGCGAGGCAGCAGUGGCGAAUAUUGCACAAUGGGCGCAAGCCUGAUGCAGCGACGGCGCGUGAGGGAUGGAGGCCGUCGGGUUGUGAACCUCUUUCGCUAAUGGUCAAGCCGCAACAAUGGUUGUGGUGAGGGUAGUGGGUAAAGAAGCGCCGGCUAACUACGUG
rnacentral:rRNA from 1 species